CCUUUUCUUGAUUUAUUCAUUUUUCCUUUCCCUCGCUACCCCUCACUCUCUCUGCCUCACUUGGCCCGCCGCCACCGUAAACCGCAACUAUCAGUCAGAAUCUGACCGGAAAAUCAAGGGUUUUCGCUCUUGGUUUGUCUACUCCAAGAAAUACGCAAUCAUGGCAGACGACAAUAUCAACGACGUGAAGGAGGAAGUGGCAGAUAUUGCCCCGUUUGAUCCUACUAAAAAGAAGAAGAAAAAGAAGGUUGUAAUUCAGGAUC